GUGCUCGCUUUGACAGCACAUACACUAAAAUUGGAAUGAUACAGGCAAGAAUAGCAUGGCCCCCGCAAAAGGAUGACACACAAAUUCGUGAAGUAUUCCAUGUUUUU